rnacentral:rRNA from 1 species
UACGUAGGUGGCAAGCGUUGUCCGGAUUUACUGGGCGUAAAGAGCGCGCAGGCGGUCGUUCAAGUCGAGUGUGAAAGCCCCCCGGCUCAACUGGGGAGGGUCACUCGAUACUGAUCGACUCGAAGGCAGAAGAGGGAAGCGGAAUCCCGGUGUAGUGGUGAAAUGCGUAGAUAUACUGGAGGAAUACCGGUGGCGAAGGCGGCAUCCUGGACCGGCAUUGACGCUGAGUGAGCGAAAGCCAGGGGAGCAACGGGG